GGAGUUGAGACAUAAGGUUAAGACAUUUUGGAUAUUUGAGGUAUGGACUUCAAUGAGAAGAUAGAGAUAUGGGAGUGACUGAGAGUAAGGUUGAGAGAGAGAGGGAGAGAGAGGGAGGGAGAGAGAGAGAGAGAGAGAGAGAGAGAAAAUGAGGUAGCAUGAAUGAUGUUGAUAAAGUAGCUAUGAUGGCGUGUUGGGAAAAUAAG
rnacentral:lncRNA from 1 species